rnacentral:tRNA from 1 species
GGUAUAGCUCAGUUGGUAGAGUGCUUGCCUUGCAUGCACAAGGCCCUGGGUUCAAUCCCCAGCACCA